CAGGUUACAUCAUUAAAGUUGCACACACGUUUCAUAGAGGUUGUAUGAUGUCGG
rnacentral:sRNA from 1 species